GAUGAACGCUGGCGGCGUGCUUAACACAUGCAAGUCGGACGGAAAGGCUCCUGCUUGCAGGGGUACUCGAGUGGCGAACGGGUGAGUAACACGUGGGUGAUCUGCCCUGCACUUCGGGAUGAGCCUGGGAAACUGGGUCUAAUACCGGAUAGGACGAUGGUUUGGAUGCCAUUGUGGAAAGUUUUUUCGGUGUGGGAUGAGCUCGCGGCCUAUCAGCUUGUUGGUGGGGUAAUGGCCUACCAAGGCGUCGACGGGUAGCCGGCCUGAGAGGGUGUACGGCCACAUUGGGACUGAGAUACGGCCCAGACUCCUACGGGAGGCAGCAGUGGGGAAUAUUGCACAAUGGGCGCAAGCCUGAUGCAGCGACGCCGCGUGGGGGAUGACGGCCUUCGGGUUGUAAACUCCUUUCGCUAGGGACGAAGCGCAAGUGACGGUACCUGGAGAAGAAGCACCGGCUAACUACGUG
rnacentral:rRNA from 1 species